ACAAUCAAACCAAUACCAAAAUAGCUCAAUAAAUUCCCAGAAAAUUCAAGCUUAAACAGAACACAUUCAAUGAGCAGCACACCAAAUUUCAUGCUAUUUGGACCAGAGGAAGUAUGGAAAUUAAAUUCAUGAAGUCAUAGUAUGCAAGAACAAACUCAAACAAGGCCACAAAUCAUGUAUCAACUUUAGGCAAGUGUAAAACA
rnacentral:lncRNA from 1 species